rnacentral:lncRNA from 1 species
GGGAAUGUUGGACUGACUGUAUCAGAUUUUACUGAUUGAGUUGUUCGUAAGCGAGUUCCGCUAGUUGAGCCAACUAUCUUGUGUACUUGUUCUGAGGCAUUGUGCAAGUGAUGAGAUCAAUAGACGCGACGGUAGCCAGAGGAGUACGCUGAUGACGCGUUUGAACUGCUUCAAAGAUGUUAUCCAGGUUUUGGAUUGGUAAGUCUGCUGCAAGGUGGCAGCGUCGCUCUGCUCUUGCGGCAUUUCUUGCUCGUUGUUGAGUUCUUUGAGCUUUGGCUUCUUGCGGCAUUUCUUGCUCGUUGUUGAGUUCUUUGAGCUUUGGCUUCUUCUCCAACAACAUUGGCGGUGAGCUC